GUCGGGGCUCGGCGCCUGCCCGGCCCUGGGCGGCGGCGGUGGCGGCGGCGCGGGUGUAGGAGCAGCGCCUGCAGGGACAGGCCUUGGUGAGUUCUCCGUGGUCGUGGGACAUCUUCCCCGUCAGCCGCUCCGGGUGGCAUUGGAGCUUUGGGGAAGGGACGGCCUGGAGAGAGACUGUACUCUGACGCAGGGAGGGGCGGGCGGGGUGGGAGGUGGCUGCCCCGGAGCGGAUGGACAUUCUUAGAAUUUGAAAAGCAGGACGCUAGGAGGCCAGGAGGAAUUAAAAGGAAACUGACCCGCCCGCCCACGGGUGCCGCGGAGGGAACAGAUCCUGCCCUCGGGCUGCUUACGCUCAGGUGUGGCCCCAUUUAGCGAAUUUGCAUAGGAGGUGGGAGGACUGCGGACUGUUACUUUACAAUGCGAAUGGAGAAAUUGGCCCUAUCUGCUAGCCUGGAAGCCCAGCAAGUUUCGCAUCCUGGUAACUCAAGGUAGACCUAAUGGUCUCCAAACUGACCCAUUCCUCUUUAACUUUCUUCUUGUUGUCUGGGUUUUGUUUUGUUUUGUUUUCCCCUGAGAUUAUCAGGCAGAACAGUAGCCCCAGGCUGGCCUUGAACUGGCCCUGGGUAACUUUGAACUUUACAUCCCGCCUUCACCUUCCAAGGGCCGAGAUUAGAGGCCUGUACGAACUGCUACCAGCAGUUUAUGUUAAACUGGUGAAGGAUGUCCAUUUCCUACUUUCGGUACAAGCACUCUACCGAUUGAGCUACAUCUCCAGCCUCUCCCACCCCUAUAAACCCCACACCUCUCCCUAUGUAGUUCAGGCUGCUGUAGAACUCUCUCUGUAGCUAAGACUGAAAGGAAAAGUACCUGCCCAGAACCUCCAGGACAAGUGCUCAGCACAAAGGAGAUUCAUUUGCCCCAGAAGGACAGAGAACAGGGAAUUAGAGACAAAGACAGGAAAUAGAGAAUGAGGGAGAUGGGGAAGGGAACAAGGGAGAAGGAGGAGGAGUAUCCCAGAGGAACAAAGGACUGCCAAUGGAUAAAGAGGAGACAGACUUGACCCAUAGAAAAAUGGCAAUUUAUAAAGACACAAGGAGAAACCCUGUGUUAGGGUGAGGUGUUUAAUUUUAAAUAAGUGUGUUAAUUAGGUGGGCCAAAGGGGGCUUUUGGUUGCUGGACUUCAAUACUGUGAUAAUUCUACCUUGGUAUUCAGCCUCAGGAGGAAGUAUCCAAAUAAGGGAGUAGACCUUGGUGGCUAGCUUUAGGAAUGUAAUCAAACACUUUUUCUCAAGGCGGAGGGAAUAGGGCGCAAGGCCUGCCAGAGCCACUUUCACCACACCAGAACUGGCUAGCUUCCCUUCAAAGUCUGGCCUGCAGUCUCCAUUUCCCCAUGCCUCACUCCACUCUCCCUGAGGCACCAACGGUUGCCCUGUGACCAAAAGUAUCCUUACCUGCUUCAGGCUAACAGACUGCUUAGCCAGGUAUUGGGAUGUAUGGGUUUAGACUGUAAUCUCUGGGUCAGAAACUGAGGUCAGGAUGACCGGGAAGAGGGUAAUUUUAGCUGUCCUUGCCAUCUAGGACACUAGGACAUAUUCUUCCUGACUUUUCUCAAAUCCUUGUUGUUGUUUUUUCAGCAGGGUUUCUCUGUAUGUAGCCUUGGCUGUCCUAGAACUCACUCUGUAGACUAGGCUGGCUUUAAACGCAAGAGACCCCACCUGUCUCUGUCUCCCAAGCACUGGGCUUAAGGGCAUGCAUCACCAAACCCAGCAUAUAUCAGUUUUUGUUUUCUUAAAUCUUCCCAUCUUGUCUCCAGACAGUCCAGGGCCCAAUUGUGUUAGCAGGAAAGACCAGGAGAAAACACCUGCUCCAAUGCUCACAGUUAGCUGCCUUUUUCUGACACCUGCCAGCCUGGACCCAGCAAAGUGAGAUCUAGCCUCAGGUCCAUUCCAGCAAAUGGGGCUUCUAGGUAUGAUUAAAUCUUCUUUAAUUAGAGCCUCAUGGCUCAGGCUAGCCUAAAAUGUGAAACUCUUGAGCCUCAGCCGACCAGGGUUCUAGGUGUGAACUGCCACACCCCAUUCUAUAUAUAUAUUUUUUUUUCUCUAUUGGAGCAAACAAGGCUCCUCACUGGUCCAUGUGAUUCUGUUUGGGGAUCUAAGGAGGUUUUCUGACUACUGGCUUUGUUCCCAUCUGCCCUUCCUUAAGUAAUAGCCCUUGCUAUUAGGAUCCUUUUCCUUCCUUCCUUCCUUCCUUCCUUUCUUUCUUUCUUUCUUUCUUUCUUAUUUAUUUAUUUAUUUAUUUUAUUAUGUAUAAUACAGCAUGUAUACCUGCAGGCCAGAAGAGGGCAUCAGAUCCCAUUACAGAUGGUUGUGAGCCACCAUGUGGUUGCUGGGAAUUGAACUCAGGGACCUCUGGAGCAGUCAGUGCUCUUAACCUCUGAGCCAUAUCUCCAGCUUAAAAUGCUUUUCUUAAAAUGCUCAAGUAUUAACCUGAGUUGGAAGGCAGACUUGGGGCAUGUGGCCCCUGACUGAGUUGGAGUGACAGUGGGCAGAUAAAUUUAUUAUUAUUUUCGAGACAGGGUUUCUCUGUAUAGCCCUGGCUGUCCUGGAACUCAGUCUGUAGACCAGGCUGGCCUCGAACUCACAGGGAUAUGCCUGCCUCUGCCUCCCCAAUGCUGAGGUUAAAGGUGUGUGUGCCACCAUUGCCAGUGGAGGAUCAAACAUUUUAGGCCACCUGGUGUCACGUGAGACACUGUCUCAUAAAUAAGUAAAUAAAUAAAUAAGGCUUCAGGAUGUAGAGUGCUUGCCUAGAAUCUACCUGUGAGGGGCUAAGGGUGUGGUCCUAGCUGCUAGCAGCUCUAAGAUUGUCUUUUCACUACACUCACACACACACACACACACACACACACACACACAGCCUUUAGUCCCCAUAGGCUUAGGCUUCCCCAUCUGUUGCAGGGCCUUGGAGCCUGCCUUGAAGACUUCUUAUUCGACCUGUACAGCUUGUUGAGUGCUCUGCAUGCCCCACACAGCACUAAUCCUCUCACAGGGGCCAGCAUAUGCAGGGGAUGCAGGGACCUCUGACUCCCGGUCCCUCCCUCAUUCCCACAAGUCUAUGCUCUGGACAGCAAGCACGGGGUUCCUGGGGAUGGAUAGCUCAUGAGCAGUGUGUGGGCACCAACAUCUCUCAGAGUGGAGACAACUCAAGUCCUGGGUGAUGAGGCUCCAUGUUAGCUGAUCAGCCUCCUCACUCUAACCUAUUGCCAUGCCUGGAAGUCUACCCAGACAGGCCUCAAGCUCCAGUCUUCAUGCCUAAACCUCCCUGUAGGUGUGUUCUCUGCCAUGGCUCAGUUUAUUUCAUCCAGGACUGCACUGUGGUGUGACUGACCUGGAACUGUUCCCAAGCCCUUCUGGAAACCACUGUCCUAUGUUACUGCUCCCUCUUCCAAGACUUCGACUCUCCUCUCGCCUCUUUCUCUCCAGACCUGUCUGGAUAACUGCUCCUGUAUUCCCUAGGGGCUGUAAUGUCAAGGUCGUCCAGCAGGUCUGCUGUGCAGGUGCCUGUGUUUGGGAUGGCAGAGCAAGGAUAAAGACAAAGCUAGAUGAGGUGGAACUUCCAUGGAAUUUCAGAGCUUUCUUGGAAUUCCAGCAUUCCACUGAGGUAGGAGGAUCACCAGGGAGAAGCCAGCCUAGGCUUCAAGUCAAUGUGCUAGAAUCAUGUAUACCUCAAAUCACAUUCUUACCUGGGCUGGUCCUCCUCAUCUCCCCUCCCCCAGCCGUUUGUUGUGUAGUCCUGGCUGCUCUGCAGGCCAGGCAGGCCUGGGCCUCGAAUUUUAGUUACAUUUAUUUAUUUGUGCGGUAUGAAGGAAGAUAGCUUUCAGGAGUUGGUUCUGUCCUUCCCCAUAGGGUCUCAACUACCUAACUCAGCGGCCAGCACUCUUUCCCUCUGAGUCAUCUCCUUCCCCUCAUGUAGCUCAGGCUGGCCUCAAGCUGUCUAUGUGGCCAAGAAUGACCUUGAACUUUCUGAUCCUCCUGCCUGUGCUCACAGGUGUGUACCGUCACACCCAGUUUUAUGAAGUGCUGGUGUUCAAACCCAGGGCCUCCUACAUGCUAGGAGAGCAUCUACCAGAUGUAGGUGAGCUGCAUUCCAAUCCCAUUGCUGAACCUUCACUUUUCUUUUGCAACAUUUCAAAUGUGAAUGGAUGUUUUGCAUUCAUGUGUACCAUGUGAGUGCCUGGCGCCCAAGGAGUCCAGAAGAGGGCAUUGGAUCCCCUGAAGCUAGAAUUACAUGUAGUAAUUACAUGUAGAUGGUUGUGAGCCAUCUUGUAGGUCGUGGAAAUCAAACCUGCCUCCCAAGUGCUGCGAUUAAAGGUGUGUGCCACCACUGCCCGGCUGUUUGUUUGUUUUUAAUGUGUGUGUGUGGGGGGUGCACGUCACUGUGUGCAUCUGGGGGUCAGAGGACAAGUUUUGGACUCUGUUCUCUCCUUGGACUCUGUGGGUUCUAAGGAUUGAAGUCAGGUGGCCAGGCUUGGCAGCAAGUUCCGAGACCUGCUGAGGUCUUCACUGAUCCAGGAUUUAGAUAUAACAGUAUCCAGUGUACAGCCUGUCGGGGAAACACUGGGCUGGAGUAGCAUACCUGAUGUCCUCCGGCUUUUAUGCCCAGGAAUGAGCAUGGCAGCUCACACACGUACAUUCAUAUACACAAACAAAACAAGCCAAGCUUGACAGUUUACACCUUUAAUCCCCACUGUAGGGAAGCAGCAGCAGGCAUAUUGUGGUCAGCCUCAUCUAAAUAGUGAGUUCCAGGGCUAUACAGUAAGAUUCUGUUUCAGAGAAAGGGAGAAGGUGGGGAGAAAGAAAAAAUGAUUCACCAUAGGAAGGAUGGAUUUAGGAGCCCAGUGGGGAGAUCACUGAGACAGUUCAGGCAUGGCAUGGUGGUGGCUGAACACAGGAAGGGACAAAAAGGGAUGCUGAUGCCUACCUAGACCUGGUUGGCCUUGAAGUCAAUCCUCUUGCCUUGGCAUCCUAGUGUGGGGAUUACGAGACUGCGUCACCACACUUGACCAUUAGGAGGGAACGUAAAACAAUGCAGAUGGCCUGAGAUCACAGGAUUUAGGAAGGCUAAGGUAGACAGGAUGGUAGCUUCUGAGACAGUGUAGGCUAUAUAGUGAUUUCCCAUGCUCUUCUCUAUCCCUACCCCCCAAAAAGGUUAGGGAGCAAGAUGGCUCUGUGAGUAAAGUCUCAAGGUUCUCAAAACCAAGCUGACAGCCUUCAUAUGGUCCUAUCCCCGGUAAUAUAGUAAGAAGAGAGAACUGGGCCCUGCAAGCUGUCCUCUGACUUUUGACUCUACAUGUGUACCAUGACACUGACAUAUACAAAUAAAUGCAUUUGAAAACAAAAAGGCCAGCCGGGCACGGUGGCGCACGCCUUUAAUCCCAGCACUCGGGAGGCAGAGGCAGGCGAAUUUCUGAGUUCGAGGCCAGCCUGGUCUACAAAGUGAGCUCCAGGACAGCCAGGGCUAUACAGAGAAACCCUGUCUCAAAAAACC
rnacentral:lncRNA from 1 species